rnacentral:snRNA from 1 species
UAACUUACCUGGACGGGGUCGACGACUGAUCAUGAAGAGUCGUGGCCUAGGCUAGUGGUCCACAUUGCAUUUGGUGGAUGCGCUGGCUUACCAUCUCCUCAAGUGGGAGAGUGGACGUCAUAAUUUAUGAUAGAGGGGGUACGCGUUCGCGCGGCCCCUAU